UCCUCGGAGUGUUAUAAUCAAACGAAAGUAGCUUCGGUAAAAUCGAACACGUAGAACAGGGAA
ncrna:Bacillus cereus VD196 RAGATH-18 RNA